ACUUAGAAAGGGCACCUGUAAACACAGAUAUUAUGAAGGGAACAGCGAAAAGGGAAAUGUCACUCUACUAAGUAUGGAUUAAGACAUAUUUUGCUGUUAUAGGAAAUAUUUUAAAGCAGUAUGCACUCAUCAUAAAUAACACUGUCUGAUGUGUUUUAUACUUCAGAAUAGUUUUUUGAGUACAAAAAGUAAUACUGAGAAUGAUAAUAAAGAAAGAUGGAUUGGGGUAGAUGGAUAUAAUCAGUAGCUACCACAAUGUGUUUAGAACUGGGAACAAGAAAGACUGCAUCAGAAUAACCCCUGCAUUAAAAUAUAUGGUAAUGAAAGUAUUCUAGAAGCAACUGUUGUCAAUAUGAGCUUACAUGCUAGGCAUAUUACUGUAAUUUGUUACAGCAAGAUUGUGGGUGGUUAUUUAUCAAAAUGGACUUGUUGAUCAUGGGGUCCUGUUGAAGCUAUGGCAGUAUAAGUCCCUUUUUGCUGCUACACAUCUGGAAACAGUUGGGAUGAAAAGCUUUUAAUUUCCAUAGCCUCAAUUUUCAGUGGCUUAAACCCUCUUCCACCUUUCAAGAGAAGAGAAUAAAUGCAGCAGCAGCAUUCCCUGCCUGUCAAGGGGCUGUCAAGUGAGCCCAGGUUAUCCAUAGGGCAGGAAAGCAGGGGAGGCAUGGAAUGCAAUUAGCUUUUUGUUAACAGAAAAUGACAACAAAGUAGAGUCCUCUGGUUCAUCUUAAUCCGUCUGAGAUGUUGCUGAAACUGACCACUAGCCUUUCACACUGGAUCCCUACCAAGCAGAUGAAGGCUGCAUCGAGGUGUAUUCUCCUCAGGGCCUCUCUGGCCCAUUGCUCAGCAACAUGCAGGACUCUUCUCUAGCAGGGUGUCAGUGGGGGAUGAGAGCCAGCAGGACUGGGACUGUCCUGCUGUUGAGUAGCAGGGGCAACAUCUGAUUCCUCUCUGAGUCUGUGCUCACACUGAGACUCUCAGCUUCCGGCCUUGUCCUGAAAGGCCUUCCUUCUCCUGACCCCUCCUUGAUUGCUCAAACCUCUUGCUUCUAGCACCUCCCCGCUCAUCCUUUCUCCAGACUGCUCUCCAGUGUCCCAUCACCACAGUCUGGGGUCCAGGCCCUCCUCUUCCAUGUCCUCCUUGGAGGGCUACUCCCACCACUCUUCCUUAUCCAGCCAGUCCCUGACACUGCAUCCACCAAACAUGUGUCUACUGGACUGUCAGCACAAUCUAAUUAAGAGGACUUUCUAAGCAGAGUAUCCAAUUCUAUGAAUGGCUAUGGCAAGCUGUUGUUUCCCCCUACUACCAUGAAAGAACCCCAGCCCAGCCCAGUUCCAUGAUGCAGCCUGACUUAGCUGCAUGUCCAAACAAGGCCAAAAGUGGGAUGGUUAUUGUAAGCCUAAGUCAUAUAGGCUAACCGUGAGCAUGAAACAUCAAUUCAGUACAGCAUCUCUACUGAUUAAGCUAAGUGUGCUGAUACAUUUCCAUGCUUUUUGGAGCCUAGGGUCAAAAUCUACCCUUAUCCAGGAACUGUGUGUGUGUGUGUGUGUGUGUGUGCGCGCGCGCUCCUUAUUUCUAGGUAACAUGCAUGGAAUCAUACCUAAGUAAAUUUUUAAGAAUCAUAGAAUUGUAGAGUUGGAAGGAACGCUGAGGAUCAUCUAGUCCAACCCCCUGCAAUGCAGGAAUAUGUAAGAUUCUUAGCUAUUGGUUGUUUUUUUCAAAUCCUAGAAUCAUGACCUAUGCCUGCUUCUUUUAAGCUACUGGUGUGUUCAAGCCUUUGAUCCAACCGGAGGCUAUAGAAAUCUACUAGUCAUCUUCUUCUGCUUCUUUGAGGCAUAAUAAAUAGGCCAUUAGUUUCAUAGGUUCUCCUUAGGAUUGGCCACAAACAGCUUGUUGCUUCUCUGGUGAUGUCUCUUGACAGCAGUCAAAGGAUUCCAGAGAAUCUGUUUUGUAAGCUGCUGCUCUAACAGGAUGUUUAAAACUGAUUUAUCAAAACAGUGUUAAUUAUUUAACAGUGAAACAAUCUUGACUCCAAAGCUUGAGGUGGGCUAAUCCUUUUCAGUACCAAUAUUCUGUACAUCUGGCAUUUUGCAAAUUACAUAUUCUGUUUCUCAGAACCACUAUAUUUAUUACCAGAGGAAAACAGAUUAUUAAUUACAGCCAAAGGCUGCUUUGAUUAAAUAUACAAUUAAUUAGCUAUGCUAAGCCCAUCCCAAAGCUCCUAAUAUUUUCAGCUGGGUGAUUUUUCCAGUAUUUUAAUUAAAAUUGUUCUUAAAAAACCACAAGUUAGCUGCAUACACACUUAAACUGAAGUUAGCUCUUCAGUAUUUUGCUGCCUUCUGCAUGCUUCCUAAUUAAUCUUUAGUGAUUAAAUGUACAUAAAAACCAUCUGAAUGGAAGGCAAUUUGUGUAGAUAUGGAACAGUGGAGAGCUUUUACCCGGACUUGGCAUGAUUGUUUUAUCUGUUGAAAAUUAUUUCCAAGGGCCUCAGAUGUUAAUUGUUUUGAUGAGGCAGACGUGCAAGCAUACCUGCCAAACACAGCAAAAACAGCAUCAUCAAGAAGCUAUAUUAUUCAUUCCAAAUAGACAUCUGUAGAAAGAGGACAAACUAUUGCCAAGAGUUGGUAUGCCUUUUGACUUGUUUUACUAGAGUUGCUUGGGUGCACGUUUCAUGGCUCGUUCUCAUCAACAAAAAUCGUACUGUCUAGAAUAUUCCAAUAUUCAAAAGAUGUUUGGGGAAGGUAAUGGAAACAGUUAUGAGGUGUGGGAAAAUAGUCUUCAGUCAUAAACAAUGGAUGCUGAACUAUAGGAGAUUGGGACUGUUCUGUGGGUAGGGGGUGAUAAACAAGAAAAGGUGGUGUCAACAUAG